GACGAACGCUGGCGGCGUGCUUAACACAUGCAAGUCGAGCGGUAAGGCCCUUUCGGGGGUACACGAGCGGCGAACGGGUGAGUAACACGUGGGUGACCUGCCCUCAGCUCUGGGAUAAGCCUGGGAAACCGGGUCUAAUACCGGAUAUGACUCCAUGACGCAUGUUGUGGGGUGGAAAGCCUUGUGCGGCUGAGGAUGGGCCCGCGGCCUAUCAGCUUGUUGGUGGGGUGAUGGCCUACCAAGGCGACGACGGGUAGCCGGCCUGAGAGGACGGCCAGCCACACUGGGACUGAGACACGGCCCAGACUCCUACGGGAGGCAGCAGUGGGGAAUAUUGGACAAUGGGGGAAGCCCUGAUCCAGCGACGCCGCGUGUGUGAAGAAGGCCUGCGGGUUGUAAAGCAC
rnacentral:rRNA from 1 species